rnacentral:rRNA from 1 species
UAGGGAAUAUUCCGCAAUGGGCGAAAGCCUGACGGAGCAACUCCGCGUGAGUGAAGAAGAUCUUCGGAUUGUAAAGCUCUGUCAACAGGGACGAUAAUGACGGUACCUGUGGAGGAAGCCACGGCAAACUACGUGCCAGCAGCCGCGGUAAUACGUAGGUGGCAAGCGUUGUCCGGAAUAACUGGGCGUAAAGCGCAUGUAGACGGCAUAGCAAGCCAAGUGUGAAAUUUAGGGGCUUAACCUCUAAACUGCGCUUGGAACUGCUGAGCUUGAGUGCAGGAGAGGCAAGUGGAAUUCCCAGUGUAGCAGUGAAAUGCGUAGAUAUUGGGAGGAACACCAGUUGCGAGGGCGGCUCUCUGGACUGUAACUGACACUGAGGCACGAAAGCGUGGGGAGCAAACA